GUGGUAGCCCUGCGCACGGAUAGGAUGUGAACCCCGCCAGGUCCGGAAGGAAGCAACGGUAAGCAUCUGAUUCCGGUGCCGCAGUAAGCUGCUACCCG
rnacentral:SRP_RNA from 1 species